GCACACCCGGCCACGCUCGCACUCGCGCGGCCGCGGGGCCGGCUGCUUACCUCCGGGGCCUCAUGGUCGCGUCGCUAGCCUGGAUGCCCUGGACAUCAUUCCGAACAGCACAAUUCAAGGCUCUUGGGUAACCCCCUCCCACACCAACUCUGAGUUUGUUUAUGGCUUGUUUUGGACAAUAAGACAUUAGCAAAUGAGAUAUAAGUACAGGCUUGAGAAGUACAUGGGCACUGGGGCUUGCUUGCUGGCUGCUCUGUGGAACCUGAGACUACCACGUGAAGAAGUUCGAAGUACUAAAGGAUGAGAGAACAUGUGCAGCAAAGAUGAAGCAUCCCAGCUGAGAUUCUCCUAGACCAAUCAGCUUGCCAACUGCCGCAAAAGCGAAUAAAGCCGUCCAAGAGCAUCCAGCUAUAAGGCGGCAGGAGAAUGGCGUGAACCUGGAAGGCGGAGCUUCCAGUGAGCCGAGAUCACGCCACUGCACUGCAGCCUGGGCGACAAAGCGAGACUCCGUCUCAAAAAAAAAAAAAG
rnacentral:lncRNA from 1 species